ACCUGCAAAGAACUUACAAAGAAAUUUGUCAUGCAAGACAAAAACUGUCAAUAUUUGUGAUCCCAUGAGUAUUGUCAACCGCGUUGUCAUUCUCAACACAACGUUAAAAAAGCAUUAUUACGUCUUUCAGGCAACGCGAAAGCUUAAUGCGACACAAGAGGUGUUACUAAAAGUCGAAAUUACAGCAAACAUUGCAUCGCUUUAGCCGAAGGUAG